UAAUACCCGGGAUAACAACAGAUGAUGCCUAUCAACUGUUUUAAAAGUAUGGUUCUGCUAUCACUCUUUGGGAUGGGGACCCUGCGGUGCAUUAGCUAGUUUGGUAGGGUAACGGCCUACCAAGGCGAUGAUGCAUAGCCGAGUUGAGAGACUGAUCGGCCACAUUGGGACUGAGACACGGCCCAAACUCCUACGGGAGGCAGCAGUAGGGAAUCUUCCACAAUGGACGCAAGUCUGAUGGAGCAACGCCGCGUGAGUGAAGAAGGGUUUCGGCUCGUAAAGCUCUGUUGUUGGUGAAGAAGGACAGGGGUGGUAACUGACCUUUGUUUGACGGUAAUCAAUUAGAAAGUCACGGCUAACUACGUGCCAGCAGCCGCGGUAAU
rnacentral:rRNA from 1 species